rnacentral:rRNA from 1 species
GACGAACGCUGGCGGCGUGCCUAAUACAUGCAAGUUGAGCGCUGAAGGUUGGUACUUGUACCGACUGGAUGAGCAGCGAACGGGUGAGUAACGCGUGGGGAAUCUGCCUUUGAGCGGGGGACAACAUUUGGAAACGAAUGCUAAUACCGCAUAAAAACUUUAAACACAAGUUUUAAGUUUGAAGGAUGCAAUUGCAUCACUCAAAGAUGAUCCCGCGUUGUAUUAGCUAGUUGGUGAGGUAAAGGCUCACCAAGGCGAUGAUACAUAGCCGACCUGAGAGGGUGAUCGGCCACAUUGGGACUGAGACACGGCCCAAACUCCUACGGGAGGCAGCAGUAGGGAAUCUUCGGCAAUGGACGAAAGUCUGACCGAGCAACGCCGCGUGAGUGAAGAAGGGUUUCGGAUCGUAAAACUCUGUUGGUAGAGAAGAACGUUGGUGAGAGUGGAAAGCUCAUCAAGUGACGGUAACUACCCAGAAAGGGACGGCUAACUACGUG